AUGAUCAUUUGCAACAUCAGCGCAAUCAAAGAUUGGAGCACUUUCCUCUCUCAGAUCCUCCCCAGCGUCAACAAGACCCUCAGCUUGGUUCAGCAGGUGGAAGCCAGCACCAGCUCAGUGGUGAGCGUCCUGCAGGACCCAAAGCAGGAGAACUACCUGUCCAACAGCCCAUCCAUGAAUUCCAGCAACUUCACCACCGACCUGGACCACUUAUUCCAGUAUUCGUACUCGGACAAUGACCAGCUCUACAAGGAGUACAAACCUCCUGCCCGGGAUGCUAUCCCUUUGCCCAAGGCGGUGCUCUACCUUCUCAUGGCCGCACUGGUGGUGGUGGCGGUGGCGUACGCCAUUGUCGGCCACCUCAUCAAGGACCUCGUUCACGAUUUGAUCGACUGGAUAUUAGGCCCCAGCCCAGAUGACGACAGUAACAAGAGCGACGUCAACUGCAUCAGCAGGAACGGGAAUGAAAUGAGCGAGAUCCACGGGCCGCACCCGAGGGAGCACCAGCCCCAGGACGUGGUCAUCUCCAUCAACGAGACUUGCCAUCUCCCCCAGCAGACGUGAUGAGCUGUGACCGCAAAGAAUGCAAAGCAUGCUGGGAAAGGCUGGGGGGACGGGCGGCGGCCAGGGGUGGGGGGAAAGGGUCUCCUUUUUAAUCUUUUGCUACAAGUCACUUUACUGCCCCUGCUGUGUGUCUCAUCCUGGGACCCCUGAACUAACAUUCAGUGAGGGCUAAAGAGGAACGAGCAGCUGACUGAGAACGCAUGGCAUUAACUCAUCACUCCCUAAAGGAAGGCGUGUGGGAAGCAGGGUUUGCUUCAGUGGUUGCUUGGUUCCUGGAGAGAACAAGACGAGGAGCGGGGCCGGGACAAGGAAGGCAGCAUUUUAACCCUUCCUGCUCUGUCCUGGGUGUCAUUCCAGCUGCCAUGAUACCACAGGAAAAGACGGAAAAGAAAUGCAUGCAAGGGAUUAGAAAAUAGCCACGGACCCAGGGAGAAAAUAAUCCACACCUACGCGUUGCCAAAUUUCUAAUAAAAUGUAACUUACGCUGCUAGACUCCA
rnacentral:lncRNA from 1 species